UACAGGGGGUGCAAACGUUGCUCGGAAUCAUUGGGCGUAAAGCGCACGUAGGCGGUCUGUUAUGUCGGAUGUGAAAGCCCUCGGCUCAACUGAGGAAGUGCAUCCGAAACUGGCAGGCUAGAGUUCUGGAGGGGGUAGCGGAAUUCCUGGUGUAGCGGUGAAAUGCGUAGAUAUCAGGAGGAACACCAGUGGCGAAGGCGGCUCACUGGCCCGAUACUGACGCUGAGGCACGAAAGCGUGGGGAGCAAACAGG
rnacentral:rRNA from 1 species